CCGCCUACGACUCCCGGCAGCCCCCGCGCGCCUGGCUCGCCGGCUCUCUGGCUCUCUCGCUCUCCCCCCCCCCCCACCUCCAGCGCGCUGCUUGGCGCUGGAGAAACUACAGUUCCCACGAGGCCUCGCGCCAAGCGGCUUGGAAGUGGGCAGCCUGGAAGUCACUCGGGCCACCGGAGCUGGCGGCGUCUCUAGCGAGCCGCGCGGUGCGGGACGCCGCGGUCGAGGAGCCCGCGGGGCGUGCAGCCGGGACGGCUAGUGCUGGGGAACAAACCCUGGGCCUUCCGUAUGCUAGGCAAAUGCUUUACUACCAAGGUGCACAUCCC
rnacentral:lncRNA from 1 species